UACGUAGGGUGCGAGCGUUAAUCGGAAUUACUGGGCGUAAAGCGUGCGCAGGCGGCUUUGCAAGUCAGAUGUGAAAGCCCCGGGCUUAACCUGGGAAUGGCAUUUGGGACUGCAAGGCUUGAGUGCGGCAGAGGAGACUGGAAUUCCUGGUGUAGCAGUGAAAUGCGUAGAUAUCAGGAGGAAUACCGAUGGCGAAGGCAGGUCUCUGGGCUGACACUGACGCUCAUGCACGAAAGCGUGGGGAGCAAACAGG
rnacentral:rRNA from 1 species